CAUUUCGAAAGCAUGGAUGAAUAGUUGAAGGAUGUUGACGGAGAUCUGAUUUGAUUGUUAUCCUUUAGCGCAGUAUCACAAGAAAAGUCAGACACAGCUCAUCUCUCGCCACUGACUGAACUUAAGCUGUACUUCGAGUCCAAUACGCGCUGCGGUUUUACACCCUCAUAUCUGAAUGCCCAGGUGGAAGUCUCUAUUAUGUGCAAAGGUGUCUCCAACUCCCCUCUCUGAGGAAAAGGUGUCAAAGGUUACUAUACCAUCAACCACAAGCAGAACCUUCUGAAGGACUCUGGGACAUCCAAUCCCUGACCUCCACACUGUAACAGUCCACAGAUCCCUGAGUAUAGAAAGCCACCACGCCAUUGGACGAGGGU
rnacentral:lncRNA from 8 species